UGCGUGGUAGUUCAAUGGAUAGAACAUUAAAGCGGUGUCAUGUUCCAUGUGGCACGGACAGCAACUAUUCUUUUUUCACUGGAAAUGAAGAGAUGAGGGUUCGAUUCCCUCCCACGCAA
rnacentral:tRNA from 1 species